rnacentral:rRNA from 1 species
UACGUAGGGUGCGAGCGUUGUCCGGAAUUAUUGGGCGUAAAGGGCUCGUAGGCGGUUUGUCGCGUCGGGAGUGAAAUCCACUGGCUUAACUGGUGGCUUGCUUUCGAUACGGGCAGACUGGAGGUAUGCGGGGGAGAACGGAAUUCCUGGUGUAGCGGUGAAAUGCGCAGAUAUCAGGAGGAACACCGGUGGCGAAGGCGGUUCUCUGGGCAUGUCCUGACGCUGAGGCGCGAAAGCGUGGGGAGCAAACGGG